AUCUUCAGCAUGCAUGAGCUUUCUUUCCUCAUACUUGCAAAAUGGCUGCUGAGACCCUCUCGAUUUUUGGAACUAGGUCAACAUUCCAGGCAGGAUGAAAGGAAAGGAAGUAAAGCCAAUAGGGUUCACAGGCGCGACACGGCAGGGGCAGGACCGAGAAGUGAGCCCUCUAAGGCAGCCCCCACCAGCUGAGCCCCGAGUUCCUCAUCUGCCCCCACUCCCCUUUGUGUAGCUGAAUCUCCAACUCAGGGGCUCAAAGCAGCCCCAAGGGCUUCCCUGCGGGCUGGACCGGAAGCCGGAGGGAGCCCCCCAGGCUGGUAGAGGCUGUGAUGAGCUGUGGUUGCCUGAAGAUACUAAGAAAAUAAAGUGAGAACCCGUAACCCUAGCAAACCAGAGAGACUCUAUCCACUUCAAGAGGUCUCGAAACCUUCACCACCACCGCUCAGCAUCCACUCCAAUUUAUUUUGUUUUUUGUUUUUGUUUUUGUUUGGAUUUGGGUUUUUCGAGACAGGGUUUCUCAGUGUAGCCCUAGCUGUCCUGAAACUCACUCUGUAGACCAGGCUGGCCUCAAACUCAGAAAUCUACCUGCCUCUGCCUCCCAGAGUGCUGGGAUUACAGGCG